GUGGGGAAUUGUUCGCAAUGGGCGCAAGCCUGACGACGCAACGCCGCGUGGAGGAUGAAGAAUUUCGGUUCGUAAACUCCUUUCGAUCGGGAAGAACAGCUUUCGGGUUAAUAGCCUGGGAGUCUGACGGUACCGAGAGAAGAAGCCCCGGCUAACUCUGUGCCAGCAGCCGCGGUAAUACAGGGGGGGCAAGCGUUGUUCGGAAUUACUGGGCGUAAAGGGCUCGUAGGCGGCCAACUAAGUCCGACGUGAAAUCCCAAAGCUUAACUUUGGAACUGCGUCGGAUACUGGAUGGCUUGAAUUCGGGAGAGGGAUGCAGAAUUCCAGGUGUAGCGGUGAAAUGCGUAGAUAUCUGGAGGAAUACCGGUGGCGAAGGCGGCAUCCUGGACCGACAUUGACGCUGAUGAGCGAAAGCUAGGGGAGCAAACGGGAUUAGAAACCCGGGUAGUCC
rnacentral:rRNA from 1 species